GACUGAACAUUCCUGCCUGAAAUGGAGAAUAUAUAAACUUGGAGUUUCGGAACCUUUUCAUCCACUCGUGGGAUCCAGAGGAAGACUGCAGGCCACUGCUCUCAACCAGAGUGCAGACCACCGCUCUCGACUGGACUGCAACGACCACUUUUCAACCAGACUGCAACUACCACUCUUGACCAGACUGCAACAGCACUCUCACCAACAGGAUAUAGGUUUAGAGGUCACAAGUAGCAACUCAUUAAAAUUAAAAACCAAGUGAAGAAUACUUCACAGCUCUGAAACCGAUAUCAGAGAGCUUGUGGGACUUACCAGAGCCACCUGGGUUCCUGUUCCUUAUGCUUGUGCCAGUGAAGUAUGACAAUGACACUGCAAACAAGAAUUCAUAUUAGGAAGUUAUCUGAGACUUUAGUUUUAAACAAUAUUCCUGGAACUCAUCUUUUAGAACUACAAGAUAUUUGCCACUUUGAUUCUCAACAGAAUGCUGUAGUGGGUGUGUGUGAAGAUGAAGAUCUGAAAGUUUCAGAAAUAUGAACAGAAGAAGAGAGCUGAAUGUUGAUGACGGUACACCUGAAUUUACUCUAAAUAGUAUCAAGAGAAAAAUUGCUGCCAGUUUUUCUUCCAAGCGUCCUGUCUUAUUCAGCAGAGUGAUGGUGAUAAUUUUAGGGUAUUA